CAGCAGCCACGGUAAUACGAAGGGGGCUAGCGUUGCUCGGAAUGACUGGGCGUAAAGGGCGCGUAGGCGGAUGGCACAGUCAGAUGUGAAAUUCCCGGGCUUAACCUGGGGGCUGCAUUUGAUACGUGUUGUCUAGAGUGAGGAAGAGGGUCGUGGAAUUCCCAGUGUAGAGGUGAAAUUCGUAGAUAUUGGGAAGAACACCGGUGGCGAAGGCGGCGACCUGGUCCUUUACUGACGCUGAGGCGCGAAAGCGUGGGGAGCAAACAGGAUUAGAUACCCCGGUAGUCCCUGUCUCUUAUAC
rnacentral:rRNA from 1 species